UACGUAGGGUGCGAGCGUUGUCCGGAAUUAUUGGGCGUAAAGGGCGUGUAGGCGGUUUGUUAAGUCAUGUGUGAAAUCCCUCGGCUCAACCGGGGAACGACGCAUGAAACUGGCAAGCUAGAGUACCAAAGAGGGGGGUGGAAUUCCCGGUGUAGCGGUGAAAUGCGUAGAUAUCCCCAAGAACACCAGUUGCGAAGGCGGCUGACUGGACACAUAUUGACGCUGAGGCUCGAAAGCAUGGGGAGCAAACAGG
rnacentral:rRNA from 1 species